GAUGAACGCUGGCGGCGUGCCUAAUACAUGCAAGUCGAGCGAACAGAUGAGGAGCUUGCUCCUUUGACGUUAGCGGCGGACGGGUGAGUAACACGUAGGUAACCUACCUAUAAGACUGGGAUAACUUCGGGAAACCGGAGCUAAUACCGGAUAAUAUUUCGAACCGCAUGGUUCGAUAGUGAAAGAUGGCUUUGCUAUCACUUAUAGAUGGACCUGCGCCGUAUUAGCUAGUUGGUAAGGUAACGGCUUACCAAGGCAACGAUACGUAGCCGACCUGAGAGGGUGAUCGGCCACACUGGAAGUGAGACACGUUCCAGACUCCUACGGGAGGCAGCAGUAGGGAAUCUUCCGCAAUGGGCGAAAGCCUGACGGAGCAACGCGGCGUGAGUGAUGAAGGUCUUCGGAUCGUAAAACUCUGUUAUUAGGGAAGAACAAACGUGUAAGUACCUGUGCAAGUCUGGACGGUACCUAAUCAGAAAGCCACGGCUACCUACGU
rnacentral:rRNA from 1 species